UGAUAGGCAAAAAUGGGAAAAUAACUUGAGGCCAGGAGUAUAAGAGCAGCCUGGGCAAAAUAGUGAGACACCGUCUUUACAAAAACUUUAAGUGUCAGACAGGCAACUUGGUGGGCAUUUUUUUUUUGAGACGGAGUCACUCUGUCACCUAGGCUGGAUUGCAAUGGUGCAAUCUUUUCUUACUGCAACCUUCGCCUCCCGAGUUCAAGUGAUUCUCCUGCCUCAGCCUCCUGAGUACCUGGGAUUACAGGUGCACACCACCACGCUUGGCUAAUUUUUGUAUUUUUAGUAGAGACGGGAUUUCACCAUGUUGGUCAGGCUGGUCUCGAACUCCUGACCUCGUGAUCGACCUUCCUUGGCCUCCCAAAGUGCUGGGAUUACAGGCAUGAGCCACUGCACCCAGCCUUGGCGGGCAUCUUUCACCAAAGCUACUCAGGAAGCCAAGGUGUGAGGACCCCUGCAGCACAGGAGUUCAAGGCUUCAGUGAGCUAUGGGUGCACCACUACACAUCAGCCUGGGUGAGAGAGUGAGACCAUGUCUCAGAAAGGAAGAAAAAUUAUCCACUUGUAGGUUGUCUCUAAUUACUUCCCUGACCCGCACUCUUCAUUUGUCCAAGUGCUGCAGCUGUGCUCUCAACAAUUUUUACAACUUCUGGGAAAGAUGCCCAUGGCCCUUGACGAUAGUGAUGCAUGUGCAUCCCACACACAGGGGUUUCCUGUUCUUUUGUUAUUUCCCUCUCUCUUUCAACAAGUGUUGCUUCUUACGGAUUGAAUUUCUCCACUGAUAGAUCCUCAAGUCUUGUUUUCACAGAUAUUAAUUUCUCUAUCACUAAGAUCACCCAUUAGUAAGAAUUACUAAUAAAGAUAAAAAAUAAAAAGUAAAGAAAGUACAGAAAAAAAGAAUUUUAAAUAAUCUUCCUAGUACCUGGGAAACAGUUAGGCAGAGUUCAGGUAUGGAUCUAAGAUGGCACUGUCAGUAAGAGGCAGAAUCAGGACUGGAGUCCAGGCAGCCUGGCUCCUGAAUCCUAGCUCCUAACUAUGAGACCCUCAUGUCUUUAGGAAUAUGGAGUUCUGACUGUGAUAGGGUGAAAGAGGGAAGUCCUCACAGUUUGCCUGUUGAUCUCUAAUUUUCUACAUCAUGGUAAUCUGUCACAAAAGGGGAGGCCACACCUGGCCCAGCCCCUUUCACCCACUCUCAAUCCCCUAGCAGGUGCCACACAGAAGGCGUGUCCUCGUCCAUUGGUUCUUGCAUGACAAUCAGAGGGACACGGAUCCUCCCUUUCAUCAAUGACCCAGAGCUGCGGGUGGAAUUCUACACUGGGAUGAAUGAGAACUCAGACAUCGCCUUCCAUUUCUGAGUGCACUUUGGCCAUUGUUUGGUCAUUGACAGCCAUGUGUGUGGGGCCUGGAAGUGUGAGGGGAGAUGCCACAAUGUGUUCUUCAAGGACGGCAAACAAUUUGAUCUGAGCAUCUUGGUGCUAGACAAUGAAUACCAGAGCACCCUCUGGUUGCACCGCUAUCCUCAGCUCGUUUCCAAAAUCUGACCGUGAUCAGUAUCAGCUCAUCUGGCAUUUCCCCCAAGGUAAUAAUAAAUGGCCAACACCAUACAUCUUUGCCCAUCCACUUCCACCAUGUUCUAUGAAGAUUUUGCAAGUGUGGGAAGAUGUCUCCCUGACCUCAAUGUCUGUCUGCAAUUUAUGGAGAUGACCACACCCCUCAUUGUUGAGGAAUCCCUCUUUCCAUGUGACCAUAGGAUCCCCAGAGCCUGCUAACAGCAUGAUCUCUCCUCACCCUUUUCCCUACACUUGGUCAUUAAAACAUCACCAAACUUC
ensembl:lncRNA novel transcript